GAGGGCAUAGCUCAGUGGUAGAGCGCAUGCUUAGCAUGCAGGAGGUCCUGGGUUCAAUCCCCAGUCCCUCCA
rnacentral:tRNA from 1 species